rnacentral:rRNA from 9 species
UUGACCUCGAAUCAGGUAGGGAUACCCGCUGAACUUAAGCAUAUCAAUAAGCGGAG